UACGUAGGGGGGCAAGCGUUGUCCGGAAUUAUUGGGCGUAAAGAGCGCGUAGGCGGUCCGAUAAGUCCGCUGUGAAAGUCGGGGGGCUCAACCCUCGGAUGCCGGUGGAUACUGUCGGGCUUGAGUACGGAAGAGGCGAGUGGAAUUCCUGGUGUAGCGGGUGAAAUGCGCAGAUAUCAGGAGGAACACCAAUUGCGAAGGCAGCUCCGCUGGGACGUUACUGACGCUGAGACGCGAAAGCGUGGGGAGCAAACAGG
rnacentral:rRNA from 1 species